GGGGAAUUUUCCGCAAUGGGCGCAAGUCUGACGGAGCAACGCCGCGUGCAGGAGGACGCUUUUCGGAGUGUAAACUGCUUUUCUGUGGGACGAGCGAGGACGGUACCACAGGAAGAAGCCCCGGCUAACUACGUGCCAGCAGCCGCGGUAAUACGUAGGGGGCGAGCGUUGUCCGGAGUUACUGGGCGUAAAGGGCAUGCAGGCGGUCGGACGCGUUUCCAGUGACAGUGGGUGGCUUACCUACCCGAGGAUUGGAAAGACGGUUUGACUUGAGGACUCGAGAGGGACACGGAAUUCCGGGUGGAGUGGUGAAAUGCGUAGAGAUCCGGAGGAACAUCAAAGGCGAAGGCAGUGUCCUGGCGAGUAACUGACGCUGAGGUGCGAAAGCUAGGGGAGCGAAAGGGAUUAGAUACCCCUGUAGUCA
rnacentral:rRNA from 1 species